AGUAAUCAAGCAUCAAAUACAUCCAUUUCAAAUGCAACACCGGAAGGCAAGCGCGUGGCAACUGCCGCCAAUCCAAAUGCUGAAGAUGCUGCAGAGCUACUAAGAAUGUGCCUGCAUUGUGGCAUUCCCAAGACAUUUUCAAAUGCGCGAGGGAUGUUUUGCCCUUUAUGUGGUGAUCGUCCUCCAGAGCCAGACAGUGAGACAAAAAAGAAGGGAUCUACCGUUAAAGAUAAGGAAAAGAUAAAAAGAAUGAGGGGACAGUCAUCUCAUGCUACUUGGAAGAGUGAAACAGAGAUGCAGCUGAGACAACAGUUUGAUUAGAGUAUUUCAUAUAUUUAUAUAUGUCUUUGAGCUCUUGGAGACUUGUGAUAGGUAGUGU
rnacentral:misc_RNA from 1 species